rnacentral:rRNA from 1 species
UGAGGAACAUGACCUUCGGCGGGGGAUAGCCGGCCCAACGGCCGGGUAAUACCGCGUACGACCACAUGGGGACAUCCCUGAGUGGUGAAAGCAGCAAUGCGCCGAUGGAGUGCCUCGCGGCCUAUCAGCUAGUUGGUGAGGUAACGGCUCACCAAGGCGACGACGGGUAGCUGGUCUGAGAGGAUGGCCAGCCACAUUGGGACUGAGACACGGCCCAGACCUCGUAACCGGGGAGG